UCCCUGAUGGUCCAGUGGUUAGGACUUUGCUCUUCCACUGAAAGGGGCAGAGGUUCGAUCCCUGGUUGGGGAA
rnacentral:tRNA from 1 species